AACCGCGUAGCUCAGUUGGGAGAGCAUUGCCAUUGGGCUGGUAGUCCAAAGGUCGUAGGUUCGAUUCCCACCGUGGCCA